UUUGAAUUAUAUAAAAGGUAACGCCUGCCCAGUGACAUCAUGUUCAACGGCCGCGGUAUUCUGACCGUGCGAAGGUAGCGUAAUCACUUGUCUUUUAAAUAAAGACUAGUAUGAAUGGCAUCACGAGGAUUUAGCUGUCUCCUUAAGCUCAUCAGUGAAACUGAUCUCCCCGUGCAAAAACGGGGAUAAAUUCAUAAGACGAGAAGACCCUAUGGAGCUUAAAACUAAUAGCCGCCUAUGCUAUCUGCUAAUAUAAAUAGCACUAUAACAAUAAAUCCGGCCUACGUUUUCAGUUGGGGUGACUAUGGAGAAAAACUCAUCCUCCAUGAAGAAACAAGCCCUGAGUUACCACUCUAUGCAUUAGCAAGCCUGACUUUACUUGAUCCAAUCUCUUUGAUCAACGGACCA
rnacentral:rRNA from 1 species